CUAUUAAUAAUUUAAUUAAAAUUUUAAUUUGUGAAUUUAAAUAUAAUUUAUUUAUAUAUUUUUAUAAUAAAUUUUUUUUUUUAGA
rnacentral:tRNA from 1 species